rnacentral:tRNA from 1 species
GCCCAGGUGGUGAAAUUGGUAUACACGCAUCCUUGAGGUGGAUGUCCUUUCGGGGGUGGAGGUUCAAGUCCUCUCCUGGGCA